rnacentral:tRNA from 1 species
CGGGGCGUAGCUCAGUUUGGCUUAGAGCGCACGGUUCGGGACCGUGAGGUCGGAGGUUCAAAUCCUCUCGCCCCGA